ensembl:ncRNA T04F8.10 ncRNA
UGUUUAAUAUAUGAAUAAAAAUGUUUGUGAAGAUAAUGUUAGUUUUGAUGUUUCAAAAUGUUUCUUUAAAAUGUCUGAGUGUAUCUAAAACUAUCUGAUUCUGCCA